rnacentral:rRNA from 1 species
UAUUUCCCGAUUUUAAAGGAGUUAAUGGUUUAUUUUAGUUGCUGUUUCAUUAGCAUUAAGGAUAGGCUGUUGGUAGUGAAAUGUUAUUCGUUUUUAGUGGUUUCUGGUUUUUCAAGAAAUGAAUUUAAUUCAUGCGUUUUAUUUAGAUUUUUACUGUUGUUUAUUUGUCUUUAUUGGGCGUUAAGAUUAAGGGGGAUUAGCUCCUUAUUUUAUUUUUAUAAUUUUUGUGUAUUUAUUUGGUUUUGUGGGUUUUAUAGUGAUUUUCAAUUUGAUUAUGUUAAAAUUUUAUUUGUUUCUUUUGUUAUUUUGUGUUAUUUAAUUAUUUAUUGGAAUGUUUUCUUUACUUUUUAUUGGAUUGUAAUUAUUGUGGGAUUAGUAAAUUUGUUUAUUGUAUUGUUUAUAGUUCUGUUUAAUUUCUUUUGAGGAAUUAGGCAAAAUUUUUGUGUCCGCCUGUUUAACAAAAACAUCUUUUCUUGUUAGUUUUUGAAGUAUGGCCUGCCCGCUGACGUUGAGUUGAAGGGCCGCGGUAUUUUGACCGUGCAAAGGUAGCAUAAUCAUUAGUUCUUUAAUUGUGAUCUGGAAUGAAUGGCUUGACGAGACACAAGCUGUCUUAAUGUUGAAUGUUUUAUUGAAUUUGGUCUUUGAGUUAAAAUUCUUAGAUGUUUUUAUGGGACGAGAAGACCCUAUAGAGUUUAACAUUUGGUUUACUUAUUUGUUGUUGUUUGUUUGUUUUGUUGGUAAGUGGACUUUUUGUUUUGUUGGGGUGAUGAGAGGAAUGAUUUAACUCCUCUUGGUUUUGGUUAUAUUGAUUUAUAUUUAUUUGAU